UUCUUAUUGGAUGAUAAAUGUCACAUGUCAUGUUCUGAUUGGAUGUCAACUCCAUGAAAGAUGGAAUGCAUUGUUGUUUUCAUUGACCAAUCAGAACAUGACACGUGACAGUUAUCAUCC
rfam:Glycine soja cultivar W05 scaffold947_4, whole genome shotgun sequence.